rnacentral:rRNA from 1 species
AUUGAACGCUGGCGGCGUGCCUAAUACAUGCAAGUCGAGCGAACCACUUCGGUGGAGAGCGGCGAACGGGUGAGUAACACGUAGGUCAUCUACCCAUUAGACGGGGAUAACGUUUGGAAACGAACGCUAAUACCGGAUAGGAUGCAAAUUUAAAGGUGCUUUCGGGCACCGCUAAUGGAUGAGCCUGCGGCGCAUUAGCUAGUUGGUAAGGUAAGAGCUUACCAAGGCGACGAUGCGUAGCCGACCUGAGAGGGUGAACGGCCACACUGGGACUGAGACACGGCCCAGACUCCUACGGGAGGCAGCAGUAGGGAAUCUUCGGCAAUGGACGAAAGUCUGACCGAGCAACGCCGCGUGAAUGAAGAAGGCUUUCGGGUCGUAAAAUUCUGUUAUAAGGGGAGAAAGGUUAGAGUAGGAAAUGGCUCUAAAGUGACGGUACCUUAUGAGAAAGCCACGGCUAACUACGUGCCAGCCGCCGCGGUAA